GACAGUUUCACUCGCAUGUGGCACUAAAUAUAGAUGUGUGCGAAUUGUUAGUUUUAGGUUAGAUAGAUUUUCCUGUAAAUACGGCGGUGAAGUUAGUUUCAGGUUGGAUAUAUUUUCCUGUAAAUACGGCGGUGAAGUUAGUUUCAGGUUGGAUAUAUUGUCCUGUAAAUACGGCGGUGAAGUUAGUUUUAGGUUGGAUAUAUUUUCCUGUAAAUACGGCGGUGAAGUUAGUUUUAGGUUGGAUAGAUUUUCCUGUAAAUACGGCGGUGAAGUUAGUUUCAGGUUGGAUAUAUUUUCCUGUAAAUACGGCGGUGAAGUUAGUUUUAGGUUGGAUAUAUUUUCCUGUAAAUACGGCGGUGAAGUUAGUUUCAGGUUGGAUAUAUUUUCCUGUAAAUACGGCGGUGAAGUUAGUUUUAGGUUGGAUAUAUUUUCCUGUAAAUACGGCGGUGAAGUUAGUUUCAGGUUGGAUAUAUUGUCCUGUAAAUACGGCGGUGAAGUUAGUUUUAGGUUGGAUAUAUUUUCCUGUAAAUACGGCGGUGAAGUUAGUUUUAGGUUGGAUAUAUUCUCCUGUAAAUACGGCGGUGAAGUUAGUUUCAGGUUGGAUAUAUUUUCCUGUAAAUACGGCGGUGAAGUUAGUUUUAGGUUGGAUAUAUUUUCCUGUAAAUACGGUGGUGAAGUUAGUUUCAGGUUGGAUAUAUUUUCCUGUAAAUACGGCGGUGAAGUUAGUUUCAGGUUGGAUAUAUUUUCCUGUAAAUACGGCGGUGAAGUUAGUUUCAGGUUGG